rnacentral:misc_RNA from 1 species
UUCAGAAAGGAAAAUGCAGCUGCUACAUAUCAUGAAUUUCAUUAAAAAAAAAAUGCAAGAAUAUUCAAGCUUAAUGAGCAAUAUCCCUUUUUAUACCAAAUUCAAAGCUCAGCAGAUUAUUCAUUUGUUGCAUCAUUCCCACAAAGCAACAUUUUUUAGUCUACAGUGGAGAUAACGAGUACAGAUUUAGGGGAGAAUUCGGCGAAUAGGAGCUAAUAUAAAAACAAUUGAAUUAAAACAGUAUGUCAAUGAGAGUAAAAGGCUUACAAUUGGUCCGGCAUUUUAUAAAAACAGCUUGCCCUCGUUCUUCUCCUCUAAAUGUCGAUGAAAUAGAUUGUAUCUCUACUUAUCUCAACCCUGUCUAAAGAUUGAUGGCCACUGGGAUAAAAGAAUGGUACAUCCAUCAUUUGCACUGGGCAGUUAAUUAGACUGAUGAUUCGAAGAGAUUCACAAAUCACUACCCGAUCACAAAUGCUCUUCAGUUGUGGUAAAUUUCUCAACUCGAAAAUCCAUAACUUUGGGAGACUGAAAUCCAUAAUUACUUCUUCUUCUUGUCUUUCUGCUCCUAUUAUCUCCUCCAUCGACGAACAAUCUCUGACAUUAAUCCUUUCCAGGUUUUGGAGGUUCGGCAGCAGGCAAGGAGGGAACAACUUCUUAAUGGUUGGGCAAUUUAUCAUCUCAAAAGUUCUCAGUUGGUUAAAGCUGUUACCAUAAUGUGGCAAUGAUGGUGCAACAGCAACUUCUCCGCCAAAGAGGAAACGGAAGUUCUUCAAACUGUCAAGGUUUAGAAAUUUAAGUCUUGGAAAAAUACGCCAACCGUCUUCAGGCAACAAAAACAAGCACUCCAUCCCAUUGCACUUUCUAAUGGAAACGUCUUCCAGUUGAGUUGCAUAUUCCAGUUGAGUUGCAUAUCUUAACGGAUGAACACAGUGUAAGCUUUGUGCAUCAUUGCAAUCUACAAUCGCUAGCCCUUGCAAGUCAGCUGGAAAGUUCAGAAAAUUCCCUUCUUUGCCGAUACUGCAAUCAUACGCCACAACAUUUUUAUCAACCUUAAAACUUCUUAAAAACAUAGGGUGUUCCAUAUUCUGGGAUAAUGGUCCUAUUAAAAGUUCAUAUUCACUUCCAAUCAUCAAUUCUUCCAUUCAUUCGACAAAUGUGUUGAAGCCUACGAGAUCAUGGAAACGACAAUGCAAAGUUUCCACCUUGCUCAGUGAUGCAACUUCCUCUCCCUCGACUGCUAACGUUAAAGGAAGUUUAAGAAAUUGCAAAUGAGAGGAUUUAGGUAGUAUCCUACGUCUUCUUUCUUUUACCGAUGUACCGCAGAGGUCUAGAUACAUGAGUUUGGACAGAAAUUCCAGGCCAUCUGGCACUUCUUCAACUCCACUAAAUCCGAGAUCCAAUCUCUUCAGUUCUCUGAGAUUUGCUAAAGAUGGCACACGCCUUAGCUCUGCACAUCCACUGACCACCAAGGAGGCGAGAUUGACGAGGGUAGUGACAGAAUUUGGCAAGUUUUGGAUCCCUGUAUUAGAAAGAUCAAGAACGUUGAGCCCAUGCAAGUGCUCAAAGAAAGAAUCUGCAAUCCGUCUCAAUUCAAGAUUGUCAUGCAACAGUAGAGUUGAAAGGUUGGGACAUCUUGGUGAAUGAUUAGAAGCAAUUUCUUUAAUGGAAUUAUUAUGCAAUGAAACUCUCACGAGAUCUCCUGUCCAGAUGCCUUCCUCUGGUAACUCUUUUAAUCCCUUACCAGAUUCAAUCAUGGCUCUAACUCCUGAACUUUCUUUCAUUAUUUGAAGGGCCAUGCUUCUAAUCAAGUCAUGCAUUGGUGGUGCAUAAUCAUCACUAUUCAGCAAGCAAACAUUUUCGAGUAUAUUUAACAUUGUAUGGCCCUCGUCAAACUCUUCUCUCCUGCUGUUCAUCCUCUUUAUUAUCCCCUCAUCAAUCAAAUACUGUAUCAAAUAAUCUUUUUCUAUCCAACCAUCAAGCUCAUCUUCUUUUGCUAAGGGAAAAAAUGCACAGUAUAAAAAACACUGUUGCAAUGCUGGAUCUUUCAAGUAAUCAUAACUAAGUUUCAAUUUUCGAAAUAUCUCCUCACUAACUUGUCUCUGAAUCCAACCUUUCCGUGCAUUCCUCCAUUGUUGUAUGUUGACUACUCCCCUCAUAUAUCUGGCCAUCGUUCUGAUUCCUAGAGGCAAACCUUCUAAUUCACUUACAACAGAUUUUGCAAUCUUCUCAACAUCAUUGGAAAGUGUCAUUUUGUCUCCCACUUCUUUCUCGAACAAGCACCAGCCUUCUUCCUCUGAAAGAGUCUCCAUUUUCAAGGUCUUCUGGCAAUUUGUUUGUCUACACACUUCAAAAGAUCGAGUUGUGAGAAUCAAGGUACAUCCAUUCAUACCGAUAGGAAUUCCCACAUCCUCAAGAGAAAUAUAAUCCCACACAUCAUCAAAAAUUAAAAUAGAUCUCUUAUUUUGAGUCAAUUCUUUGGACAACCUUGCUGCUCUUUUAUUUUCAUCAUCUUCACUGGAAAGAUUUAUACCCACAGCCUUCGCAAUAGAAUUUUGGAGUUUGUGGAUGCUGCAAUUUGGAGACACAUUAACCCAAUAAACGUGAUGAAACUUAUUGGGGUCUUGUAGGAGUUUAUUGUUGAGAUGUUUUGCCAGCUCAGUUUUGCCAACGCCACCCAUCCCAUAAAUACCGAUUCUUAAGACAUCUUUCAUUAACCAAUACCAUAUACUCUGCAUAUGUUUUUCAAAAUUUUCACCCACGACCUCUCUUGUCAGUAAUGUAUCGCCUAAAGUAUUAACUGGGGGCACAAGUCCUCCAGCAUUGUUCUCCAUCUCACUACCCACUCCUGGAAGUGCAAUGGUUGUCCCUUCCCCUAUUUCUUCCCCUAUUUCUUGUUCUGCGGUCUGAAGUAAUUCCCUCAGUGUCAUUCCUACAUCCGUCACUUGGUUUUCGGAUUGUCUCCCUGAAGAAGUUGGAAUUGUGAAAGCUGCAUUGUUAUUGGGUAAACUUGACAUAGUUUUACGUUUUCGGUUGGGACCUCGUAUUCCUUGACAAUAAGAUUGGGGAUCUACAAUGGCUUGAUAGGCUUCUUGUUGAACAUCUUUAGGAACUGCAGGGCAAACAUUAACACCUUGUCCUUCAAUUUUGGCCAAAUGUCGUUUAAACCUUGUAAUGCUCCCAGCGUAGCGUCCCCCACAAUAAUUACACUUGAAACCAGGAUUUAAUUUAGAGGCAUAUUUCCAAAAUGGAUCGUUGCCUCUCCCCAUUUUUUUAAAAUCCUACAGAUAUAAUAAAUUAGGGGUAAAAGGUUAAGUUCAAUUCCAAGAGAGGAGAAAACUGAGUAUCAUUUUAUAAUAAUAUCCAUGGAAAUGCAUAUAAUUGAGUCACAUCUAUUUGAGCUCAACAUUGUAUUAGAAGAUCAGCAAGGCUCACCUAUUAGCCACUUCUGUAAUUUCUUGGACUGAUCUGUAGGAUUGGGGAUCCAAUCCUCCUCUUGUUUUGUCAGCUGUAAAUUCUGAUUUCCAGUGAUGAUAUUUUCCUGGAGUGAUGGGUUAAUCUUCAAAGAUAUAUAAAUUUAAUAGUGUUGAAGAUGAAGCGCCACUGAGAUCCAACAACCACUUAGAUCUGCGAGCGAGAUGCGACUCUGGGAGAGAAGUCAAGUUGCUCUGGGAGAGAAGUCAAGUUGGAGGCAGAAGAAAACAAGACAAAGAAAACAGAGCGCACUAGGUAAAGAAAGGGCAAAAUAUUAUGAAGCGACGAGAAAUGGAAUCGCGGUCAAGGUGUGGAGCCUCGCUUCAAGGGAUUGCAAGAAAUGAUGUAUGUUUGGAUCUGUAAGACAAAAAAAAGAACACCAAUGGACUGGCUUGGGUAAUCUCUCCAAUACAUAAGUCAGUAUAGGUAUUGAGUAGAGUAAAAAAUAAAUAGAAAUAACAAUAAACCUGAUUGUGAGGAGGCUUGAUUUCCUUAUAUAGGUAUCAAGUAGACUCCUAUUUGAAGUAAAAUUUAAUAUUAAAAUAGAGUUCUUAUUUUAGAGGAAGUUCAGUUAGAGUAGGGUUCGGAAUUUUUAAUAAGUUGGGAUAUUUAUACUUAG